GGCUUGUGAAUCAGAGAGGUCAGGUUUGUCCUCUAGAGAGAGUGCCGGCGCCAAGGAGGAAUAUUCCUUAAAGGAUUGUUUGGCUCUGAGGAGAUUCUUGUUCGGUUGGGGUUUUCUGGAGACAUUGUUAGGGUUCUUUUGCUGUUGCUGCUUUGCUGCAAUAACUGGGAGGUGGCGAAAGGAGGUUAUGCGGCGGAGGAGGUUGUGGAGGGUUGGCGUUCGGUGGAGGAAGAGGGACAUUGAAGCGAUAGACAUCAAUAGUGAGAAAUAAGGCAACUGAAAUGACCCUUCCUACUGCUUAAAAUGAUAAUUUCCAU
rnacentral:misc_RNA from 1 species